AUUGAACGCUGGCGGCAGGCCUAACACAUGCAAGUCGAACGGUAACAGGAAGCAGCUUGCUGCUUUGCUGACGAGUGGCGGACGGGUGAGUAAUGUCUGGGAAACUGCCUGAUGGAGGGGGAUAACUACUGGAAGCGGUAGCUAAUACCGCAUAACGUCGCAAGACCAAAGAGGGGGACCUUCGGGCCUCUUGCCAUCGGAUGUGCCCAGAUGGGAUUAGCUAGUAGGUGGGGUAACGGCUCACCUAGGCGACGAUCCCUAGCUGGUCUGAGAGGAUGACCAGCCACACUGGAACUGAGACACGGUCCAGACUCCUACGGGAGGCAGCAGUGGGGAAUAUUGCACAAUGGGCGCAAGCCUGAUGCAGCCAUGCCGCGUGUAUGAAGAAGGCCUUCGGGUUGUAAAGUACUUUCAGCGGGGAGGAAGGGAGUAAAGUUAAUACCUUUGCUCAUUGACGUUACCCGCAGAAGAAGCACCGGCUAACUCCGUG
rnacentral:rRNA from 1 species